rnacentral:rRNA from 1 species
AGUGAACGCUGGCGGCAGGCCUAACACAUGCAAGUCGAGCGGCAGCGGGUCCCCGCGAGGGGAUGCCGGCGAGCGGCGGACGGGUGAGGAACACAUCGGAAUCUGCCUGGUUGUGGGGGAUAACGUAGGGAAACUUACGCUAAUACCGCAUGCGACCCUGAGUCGACGGACUGGGGGUGAAAGUGAGGGACCUUCGGGCCUCACGCGACCAGAUGAGCCGAUGUCGGAUUAGCUAGUUGCGGGGUAACGGCCGCCAAGGCGACGAUCCGUAGCUGGUCUGAGAGGAUGAUCAGCCACACUGGGACUGAGACACGGCCCAGACUCCUACGGGAGGCAGCAGUGGGGAAUCUUGCGCAAUGGGNGAAAGCCUGACGCAGCGACGCCGCGUG